AGGUAACCGUGGUGAGGGCACCGUCUCGAUAAGUCCGUGUACCUCUCCUAUGCAUCAUAUAAAUUCUCUAAAUCAAUCUGUACAAAAGAGGAGAUAUCAUUCCUCAACUU
rnacentral:snoRNA from 1 species